UUUAAGACAGUGCUUCAGAAAACCCGUGAAAUCGUGCUCCAAAGCCUCCUGAUGCUGAGAAAGGAAAUUGCCCGAGAUCCUCAGCUUUGUGCCCCAAGAUGGCUGCUGGGUCUUUGAGGCCCAGGCCCUGAGGGAGGCGGCGGCCGGGCCCAGGGGAGCUCUGGGGGGCGUUUUCGAAGCCUCCCGGCCCAGUGGGGCUCGCGGUUCGGUUUUGCUUGGCCAGCUUGGUUUUCGUGACCCAAGCAAAAGCUUUUCCCUUACCUGGAUCGGAGGCUCUGCAGCGGCAAUCCUCCAGGUGCCUUGCGGUGAAGCGAGGCGGGAGCAGCGGCACCGGCGGAGCGCGGCCGCCCCGGUCCGGCCCCAAGCCGGGGAGAGAAAACCCAACGAGAGCUUCCAGCCCGGCUCUCCGCCUGCCGUGGCUGCCGUGGAGAGGAGCUCGACGCCAGAGAACCACCAGGUCCUUGCUUCUUGCUGGAGCUGCUCCGUGGAAGCUGCGCUCCCCUCAGAGAGAAAGCCCGCGCCGUGUCGCGCCACGGGGCAGCGAGGGGGACUCCGUCAGCAUUUGCCCCGCUCCCCGGGACCUUUUGGGUCUGUGCUCCUCUGUGUGUGCGGGGCGAGGGGUAAAAAGAAUUUACAUCAAGAACUGAAUACAGGAUCUGGAGGAAAUGGUAGAGAUGGAGAAGGACCAGCUAUAAGUACCAGAAGGUGCACACCAAGACAGUGAAGAAAAGGCAGAUGUUGUUGUAGAGCCCGUCCAGCAAGUGACUCAGGGGCACCAGCAGAGCUGUGACAGUUCCAUAUCUCACCUGCUUUGGCAGUGGUUUCUGCAGAGAUCCAGGUCCCUGGAAUUUUUUGCCAUUCCAGUCGAUGCAGCAAGGCAUUUCAUCUUUGAGAAAAGGGCCAGUUAUUUCUGCUCUGGGAAAGCUCCCAAAUGAGCACAUCCUCUUGCCCCCAAGGCCAAGGUGAUCACCAUUCUCAGUGAUCCACAGGCCCAAGCAUACUCCUGGUAACACGGGACCUGAUCCAAACCUAAUUGCAGUCAAAGGUAGAGCUCCAGUAGUUGAUAAAAUAUGCUAAUCUACUAACUUCAGUUAAAAUGAGUAUUGGAAAGAAGAUUU